GACGAACGCUGGCGGCGUGCUUAAUACAUGCAAGUCGAACGGAAAGGCCCGGCUUUUGUGGGGUGCUCGAGUGGCGAACGGGUGAGUAACACGUGAGUAACCUGCCCUUGACUUUGGGGUAACAUCAGGAAACUGGGGCUAAUACCGGGUAUGAGCUCCUGCUGCAUGGGGGGGGUUGGAAAGUUCCGGCGGUGGGGGAUGUACUCGCGGCUUAUGCGCUAGAUGGUGGAGUAGUGGCUUACCAAGGCUUUGACGGGUAGGCGGCAUGGGAGGGUGAACGGCCACAUUGGGCCUGCGAGACGGCGCAGACGGCUAUGGGAGGCAGCAGUGGGGAGCAUUGCGGAACGGGGCGAAGCGUGAUGCAACAACGCUGCGUGCGGGAUGACCUGUUACGGGGUGAAAACCGCUUUGGAAGGUGACGAGGCCUGAGUGACGGUAAUGGAUCAAGAAGCACCGGCUAACUACGUG
rnacentral:rRNA from 1 species